rnacentral:rRNA from 1 species
AUUGAACGCUGGCGGCAGGCCUAACACAUGCAAGUCGAACGAGUGGCGGACGGGUGAGUAAUGUCUGGGAAACUGCCUGAUGGAGGGGGAUAACUACUGGCAACGGUAGCUAAUACCGCAUACCAUCGGAUGUGCCCAGAUGGGAUUAGCUAGUGGGUGGGGUAACGCCUCACCUAGGCGACGAUCCCUAGCUGGUCUUAGAGGAUGACCAGCCAAACUGGAACUGAGAAACGGUCAAGACUCCUACGGGAGGCAGCAGUGGGGAAUAUUGCCAAAUGGGCGCAAGCCGGAUGCAGCCAGGCCGCGUGUAUGAAGAAGGCCUUCGGGUGGUAAAGUACUUUCAGCGGGGAGGCGUUACCCGCAGAAGAAGCACCGGCUAACUCCGUGCCAGCAGCCGCGGUAAUUC